rnacentral:rRNA from 1 species
AACUGGGUGUAUUGUAUACUUAGCUUUUUCUGCUCCAUGAAGUUUAAAUAGCCGCAGUACCCUGACUGUGCAAAGGUAGCAUAAUCAGUUGGCUUAUAAUUGAAGUCUUGUAUGAACGAAAGCAUGGGUAAAACCUGUCUCUAACAAGUUAGCGGAAUUUUUUCAGUAAGUGAAAAGACUUACAUAAAAACAAAAGACGAGAAGACCCUAGAAAUUUUUCACCAAGAGCGUGAGUACGCUACUCUGUUUUGCUGGGGCGGCAAAGUAACACUUUUAACUUGCUUUAUAGUUUAGACCUUUUUUUAUAGUAAAGCUGUAAUUACUCUAGGGAUAACAGCAUAAUUUUAUUAAGUUUGUGACCUCGAUGUUGGAUUAAGGUAGGUAGUGUUCAGAAGAUACUUUCCUGUGUUCUGUUCGAACAGUAGCCCUUACAUG